rnacentral:tRNA from 1 species
GCUCUUUUAGUAUUAAAUAGUACAGUUGACUUCCAAUUAACUAGUUUCGGUAUAAUCCGAAAAAGAGNN